rnacentral:rRNA from 1 species
CUACGGGACGCUGCAGUGGGGAAUAUUGCACAAUGGAGGAAACUCUGAUGCAGCAACGCCGCGUGGAGGAUGACACUUUUCGGAGCGUAAACUCCUUUUAUAUAGGAAGAAGAUGACGGUACUAUAUGAAUAAGCGCCGGCUAACUCCGUGCCAGCAGCCGCGGUAAUACGGAGGGCGCAAGCGUUACUCGGAAUCACUGGGCGUAAAGAGCGUGUAGGCGGAUUAAAAAGUCAGAAGUGAAAUCCUAUAGCUUAACUAUAGAACUGCUUCUGAAACUCUUAAUCUAGAAUAUGGGAGAGGUAGAUGGAAUUUCUGGUGUAGGGGUAAAAUCCGUAGAGAUCAGAAGGAAUACCGAUUGCGAAGGCGAUCUACUAGAACAUUAUUGACGCUGAGACGCGAAAGCGUGGGGAGCAAACAGGAUUAGAUACCCGUGUAGUC